rnacentral:rRNA from 1 species
UACAGAGGGUGCGAACGUUGCUCGGAAUUACUGGGCGUAAAGCGCGUGUAGGCGGGACAGCAAGUCAGAUGUGAAAUCCCCGGGCUCAACUCGGGAACUGCAUCUGAAACUGCUGACCUUGAGUACUGGAGAGGGCGGCGGAAUUCCUGGUGUAGAGGUGAAAUUCGUAGAUAUCAGGAGGAACACCGGUGGCGAAGGCGGCCGCCUGGACAGUCACUGACGCUGAGACGCGAAAGCGUGGGGAGCAAACAGG